rnacentral:rRNA from 1 species
UACAGAGGGUGCGAGCGUUGUCCGGAAUCACUGGGCGUAAAGGGCGCGUAGGUGGCGCUGCAAGUCGGUGGUGAAAGCUCGUCGCUUAACGGCGAGUCGGCCAUCGAAACUGCGGGGCUGGAGCACUGUAGGGGCAGAUGAAAUUCCGGGUGUAGCGGUGGAAUGCGUAGAGAUCCGGAAGAACACCGGUGGCGAAGGCGGUCUGCUGGGCAGUUGCUGACACUGAGGCGCGACAGCGUGGGGAGCAAACAGG